CAGCAACAGGUGUGUACAUUCCCAUGACCUCUUGUGUACAGUAUAUAUACACCCUGCAACACCACUUCAACCCACACUCAACCAGCGUGAGCAGCACAUCUACCACAAGAUGAAGGUAGCAUUGUUCCUGUGUGGCUUGGCUCUGGCCACAGCCAGCCCCUCCUGGGAUCACUUCAAGACUCAGUAUGGC